rnacentral:rRNA from 1 species
CGACGGAGAGUUUGAUCCUGGCUCAGGGCGAACGCUGGCGGCGUGCCUAAAACAUGCAAGUCGAGCGGGGGUUGGCCGCGGGGCAACCCGCGGUUUCAGCUCUAGCGGCGAACG